rnacentral:rRNA from 1 species
GCAUUACAAAGCGAAACUGCGAAAGGCUCAUUAUAUAAGUUAUCGUUUAUUUGAUAGUACCUUACUACAUGGAUAACCGUGGUAAUUCUAGAGCUAAUACAUGCUGAAAAUCCCGACUUCGGAAGGGAUGUAUUUAUUAGAUACAAAACCAAUGCCCUUCGGGGCUCUCUUGGUGAUUCAUGAUAACUUCUCGAAUCGCACGGCCCCGCGCCGGCGAUGGUUCAUUCAAAUUUCUUCCCUAUCAACUUUCGAUGCUACGGUAUUGUCCUAGCAUGGUUGCAACGGGUGACGGAGGGUUAGGGCUCGACCCCGGAGAAGGAGCCUGAGAAACGGCUACUACAUCCAAGGAAGGCAGCAGGCGCGCAAAUUACCCAAUCCCGAUACGGGGAGGUAGUGACGAUAAAUACCGAUACAGGGCUCUUUUGGGUCCUGUAAUUGGAAUGAGUACAAUUCAAAUCCCUUAACGAGGAACAAUUGGAGGGCAAGUCUGGUGCCAGCAGCCGCGGUAAUUCCAGCUCCAAUAGCGUAUAUUAAAGUUGUUGUGGUUAAAAAGCUCGUAGUAGAAGCUCGGGCUCCGGCCGACCGGUCCGCCUCACCGCGUGCACUGGUUCGGCCGGGCCUUCACCUUCUGCGGAACCGCAUCUCCUUCACUGGGGGUGUCGGGGAAACAGGACGUUUACUGUGAAAAAAUUAGAGUGCUCCAGGCAGGCCUAUGCUCGAAUAGAUUAGCAUGGAAUAAUGGAAUAGGACGUGUGGUCUUAUUUCGUUGGUUUCUAGGACCGCCGUAAUGAUUAAUAGGGACAGUCGGGGGCAUCAGUAUUCAAUCGUCAGAGGUGAAAUUCUUGGAUCGAUUGAAGACUAACUACUGCGAAAGCAUUUGCCAAGGAUGUUUUCAUUUAUCACGAACGAAAGUUAGGGGAUCGAAGACGAUCAGAUACCGUCGUAGUCUUAACCAUAAACUAUGCCGACUAGGGAUCGGACGGUGUUAUUUCUUGACCCGUUCGGCACCUUACGAGGAAUC